AUUUUUUUUUUAAGUUAAAGGAAUUAAUUAGACCUCAAAACAUUUCAAAGACUUAUGUAACUAUUUGGCAUAAUUUUAAGAGUCAAAACAAACCUUUUGUUUUUUUUCUUUUUGUUAUAGAUUGUUGGUUAAGCGAAAGACCCAGAAGACUAAAUAGAAGAUAAAUUAGAGGAGUGUUUGUGUGGGCUUGGGCCUAUGGUAAUUGUGAGACUUUUGUAAGGCUGCUGAUGGGAUACCAAAGGUUCUCAUAAGUUUGUAGUUACAUAUUUAUUUUUAAAAUUUCUAAAAAUGUAAUAGAUGAGAUAUGUGUUGAAAUUUUAAAAUAAAAUGAAAUUAUUUUUUUUUAAAUAUUAGGUUAAAUUAAUUUAUAAGUGUAGUGUUUAUA
rnacentral:misc_RNA from 1 species